rnacentral:rRNA from 1 species
GAUGAACGCUGGCGGCGUGCCUAAUACAUGCAAGUCGAGCGAACGGACGAGACGCUUGCUUCUCUGUCGUUAGCGGCACACGGGUGUGUCACACGUGGAUCACCCACCUGUAAUUCUGGGAUCACUUCGGAAAAGGGGCGCUAAUACCGGAGAAUCUUUUGAACCGCAUGGUUCAAUAGUGAAAGACGGUGUUGCUGUCACUUAUCGCUGGAUACGCGCUGCAUUAUCUAGUUGGGAAGGUAACGGGUUUCCAAGGCAACGAUGCAUAGCCGACCGCAGGGAGUGAUAGGCGACACUAGAGCUGAGCCAGGGUCCAGACUCCUGCGGGAGGCAGCAGUAUGGUACCGUACGCAGUGGGCGAGAGCCUGACGGAACAACGCGGCGUGAGUGAUGGAGGUCUUCGGAUCGUAAAACUCUGUUACUAGUGAUGAACAUAUGUGGACGGAAAUGUACAGAGCUUGACGGUAACGAGUAAGAAAGCCACGGCUAACUACGUG